AUUGAACGCUGGCGGCAUGCCUUACACAUGCAAGUCGAACGGCAGCACGGGAGCAAUCCUGGUGGCGAGUGGCGAACGGGUGAGCAAAGUAUCGGAACGUGCCCAGUCGUGGGGGAUAACGUAGCGAAAGUUACGCUAAUACCGCAUACGAUCUAUGGAUGAAAGCGGGGGAUCGCAAGACCUCGCGCGAUUGGAGCGGCCGAUAUCAGAUUAGGUAGUUGGUGGGGUAAAGGCUCACCAAGCCGACGAUCUGUAGCUGGUCUGAGAGGACGACCAGCCACACUGGGACUGAGAACCGGCCCAGACUCCUACGGGAGGCAGCAGUGGGGAAUAUUGGACAAUGGGCGGAAGCCUGAUCCAGCGAUGCCGCGUGUGUGAAGAAGGCCUGCGGGUUGUAAAGCACUCUCGGUGGGGAGGAGAGGCUGUGGGUGAAUAACCUGUAGCUGAGACGUUACUCACAGAAGAAGCACCGGCUAACUCUGUGCCAGCCGCCGCGGUAA
rnacentral:rRNA from 1 species